UCGAACGCGCCAAAAUAUAACAAAAAUCGUGUCUGUGCCAUAUUCUCUUACUUCGAACGGUAUAUAAACUCUCAGCAGCACUUAUUGCCGAAAAAAACUAUUCCUAAGGGCAAUCGAUUAUAUAUUAUUUAAUAUAUUUAUCUAAAGACAUUAACAUACUUCUUUAUCCAUAUGAAAACAUAUAUGCAUGCAAAUAUACUUACAUUUCGCUGUGUCCAGUGUCGGAUUUGAAUGAUUCUAUGGAGUCCCGAUGUGGACGUUCACUCAAUAUGUAGAAAAUCGUAAAAACGCGAUGGCAGAACGAUUGUUGAUUAUCGUCCAACAACUAUAUUACUGACGAUGAUUUUCCGAUAGUUUUGAACUAUCCCUAAUGCUUCGAGCUAAGCGAUAGCACUAACCAUUAGGGAUGAUUGAUAUUGCUAUUUUUUAUGUCACAGUGACAACUGUGAGAGUUCAAAACAUGUCAGCGACAAAUAACAGCGACUGAUAGUUGACUUUUAAGUAAUCCAACUUAAAUAAAAUUAUGUUACGAUGAAUAAAA